rnacentral:ribozyme from 1 species
UGUCCAGUAACUCCUAUCCCUACCUCCCCGUGGUGCCGCCUGGGGUACGAGUAACCGUAGAAGAUCGGGUAACCAACCCUGGUGGGACCUUGAUCGUAUGCUGACAGAGAAGG